rnacentral:rRNA from 1 species
AGUGAACGCUGGCGGUAGGCCUAACACAUGCAAGUCGAACGGCAGCACAGUAAGAGCUUGCUCUUACGGGUGGCGAGUGGCGGACGGGUGAGGAAUACAUCGGAAUCUACUUUUUCGUGGGGGAUAACGUAGGGAAACUUACGCUAAUACCGCAUACGACCUACGGGUGAAAUCAGGGGAUCUUCGGACCUUGCGCGAUUGAAUGAGCCGAUGUCGGAUUAGCUAGUUGGCGGGGUAAAGGCCCACCAAGGCGACGAUCCGUAGCUGGUCUGAGAGGAUGAUCAGCCACACUGGAACUGAGACACGGUCCAGACUCCUACGGGAGGAAGCAGUGGGGAAUAUUGGACAAUGGGCGCAAGCCUGAUCCAGCCAUACCGCGUGGGUGAAGAAGGCCUUCGGGUUGUAAAGCCCUUUUGUUGGGAAAGAAAAGCAGCAGGUUAAUACCCCGCUGUUCUGACGGUACCCAAAGAAUAAGCACCGGCUAACUUCGUG